rnacentral:rRNA from 1 species
UACGUAGGGUGCAAGCGUUGUCCGGAAUUAUUGGGCGUAAAGAGCUCGUAGGCGGUCUGUCGCGUCGGAUGUGAAAACCCAGGGCUCAACCCUGGGCCUGCAUUCGAUACGGGCAGACUAGAGUUCGGUAGGGGAGACUGGAAUUCCUGGUGUAGCGGUGAAAUGCGCAGAUAUCAGGAGGAACACCAGUGGCGAAGGCGGCGAUCUGGGAAGAUACUGACGCUGAGGUGCGAAAGCGUGGGGAGCAAACAGG